rnacentral:misc_RNA from 1 species
GUGAAUCAUCAAAUUUUUGAACGCAAAUUGCACUCUCUUCGGAAAGGGUGCCUGUUUGAGGGUCAGCAUAAAAAAAAUCAACGUCGAUCCUAUUUCGCUGUAACAUUCGUCGGUCGUUGGAUCAUCUUUAUCCUUUUGGUUUUAAUCGGCUUAAAAUUGUCUUUACGAUUCCACGAACGUUUUUAUGAUUCUACUUCUUACACGUUU